rnacentral:rRNA from 1 species
UACGGAGGGGGCUAGCGUUAUUCGGAAUUAUUGGGCGUAAAGGGCGCGUAGGCGGCCCGGUAAGUCAAAGGUGAAAUCCCUCGGCUCAACUGAGGAACUGCCUUUGAAACUGUCGGGCUUGAGGCCGGGAGGGGGUAGCGGAAUUCCCAGUGUAGCGGUGAAAUGCGUAGAUAUUGGGAGGAACACCAGUGGCGAAGGCGACUUUCUGGGCUGUAACUGACGCUGAGGCGCGAAAGCGUGGGGAGCAAACAGG